CCAGCUCCAAUAGCGUAUAUUAAAGUUGUUGCAGUUAAAAAGCUCGUAGUUGAACUUCUGGCUGUUGCGGUUCAUGGCUUCGGUCGGGAUCGUAGCGGUCAUCCGCUUGGGAAUUCCGUUCGAACUUUACUGUUCGGCGGAGGGAACAGGCAUUUUACUUUGAAAAAAUUAGAGUGUUCAAGGCAGGCUAUCGCCCUGAAUACACAAGCAUGGAAUAAUGAAAUAGGACUAGUUCCAUUUUAUUGGUUAUUGGAAUUAGUAAUGAUUAAUAGGGACAGUUGGGGGCAUUAGUAUUUAAUUGUCAGAGGUGAAAUUCUUGGAUUUAUUAAAGACUAACUUAUGCGAAAGCAUUUGCCAAGGAUGUUUUCAUUAAUCAAGAACGAAAGUUAGGGGAUCAAAGACGAUCAGAUACCGUCCUAGUCUUAACUAUAAACUAUACCGACUAGGGAUUGGCCGGGAUUUUUUAACCCGGUCGGCACCUUAUGAGAAAUCAAAGUCUAUGGGUUCUGGGGGGAGUAUGGUCGCAAGGCUGAAACUUAAAGGAAUUGACGGAAGGGCACCACCAAGAGUGGAGCCUGCGGCUUAAUUCGACUCAAC
rnacentral:rRNA from 1 species